rnacentral:lncRNA from 1 species
AGGGGAAGGUUUCUCAUCUCAUUCUCAUAGGAGGAGAUGUCUGUUAAACCUCUGGAUGUUGUGCCUGGAACCACAGCAAGCAUCUAGCUACCAGCCUGAGGCUGACCGCAGCACGGAGGAUAGCAGAGCAGAGAGGUGGAAAGAACCUGGGUCCUUGGUGACGUCAUUGAACUGCUAAAUUAGCUGUUGCUGGAGCCGGCCUACCAUGGGAUUUCUUGUUAUAUGAGAUUGUUUAAGCCACUUUGAGUUGGGUUUUCUGUUAUUGGCAAUCUCAGAGAUGGCAGAAGUGGUCUAUGUACAUGUGUAUGUGUUUUUGAUCACCUUUCCACGCAGAAAGCAUUGACUUCCCCUGAGUUAUUUUGAGCCGAUGGAUGUGUGUGGUGCUUGCCCAGGCCUAAGGUUCUCAGGACCAUCACUGAGAAGAACUUAUGAAGACCAGAAAAGCUCUCUGUAGACCUUGGUCCUCGGAAAGGGAACAGGUGCCGGGCCUGUUGAACGUGGAGCCCAUGUCAAAGGAACUGCAACAGGAAGAGCUGUGCCACCAUCGUUCUAAUAGCUGCUACUUGCUUUUCAAAACUUUCAAUCUAUUAUCCUACUACUUGUGUAGCAAGGCCAAUAAGAAGAGUUGCUUUUACGUUGAGCCUAACAAAUGCAGAGUUUCCCGAAGUCCGGGCCACGGAACACCAGUCACGUGGCAUCCUCUAGAAAAAGCAUGCUGAGUGCUCAGGAGAGUUUGGAGAACACUCUACCCACCUCGAAUGCAUUUAGGAAAGUCUCAGAAUCAGGCAAGAAAGAAACAUAUUCAUUUUUUAAAUCCCAAUAUUCCCCAAACUGGUUAGACCAUUCACAAUACCAAUGAACAUCUCACAGAACUUGAGAUUCAUGGAAAUGUCACCCAAGGAGCCCCAACGGCUCUUCUGAAUAAAAAGAAAAGGUAGCAUUAUCACAGAUGGUCAUUGCUUUAUAAUCCUUUGAAAAGUGCUGAUACAAACAUGAGGGUUAACUAGAGUGCUGGAUUAACCGGUCUCCCGCAGCCUUUGAUCAGGAUAACCAGUGGCAGUCGUGGGGUACAGAGCAGCACAGGAAGAAAAUACGAGUUAGGUCAAAGAAGGUUUAGGUAAGGUCUUGAGUGACGAGUUGAAUUUUUACAACUAUAGACACAAAGAAGAAGUUAGGGAUAUUUGGGACAUAUUGUAAAUCUUUUGAGGAAAAAUCCUAGUCUUCUCCUAGACUGUUCUUAACCACUCUUUUUG